GAUGAACGCUGGCGGCGUGCCUAAUACAUGCAAGUCGAGCGAACAGACGAGGAGCUUGCUCCUCUGACGUUAGCGGCGGACGGGUGAGUAACACGUGGAUAACCUACCUAUAAGUCUGGGAUAACUUCGGGAAACCGGAGCUAAUACCGGAUAAUAUAUUGAACCGCAUGGUUCAAUAGUGAAAGACGGUUUUGCUGUCACUUAUAGAUGGAUCCGCGCCGCAUUAGCUAGUUGGUAAGGUAACGGCUCACCAAGGCAACGAUGCGUAGCCGACCUGAGAGGGUGAUCGGCCACACUGGAACUGAGACACGGUCCAGACUCCUACGGGAGGCAGCAGUAGGGAAUCUUCCGCAAUGGGCGAAAGCCUGACGGAGCAACGCCGCGUGAGUGAUGAAGGUCUUCGGAUCGUAAAACUCUGUUAUUAGGGAAGAACAAAUGUGUAAGUAACUAUGCACGUCUUGACGGUACCUAAUCAGAAAGCCACGGCUAACUACGUG
rnacentral:rRNA from 1 species